CCCUUAGAUGUUCUGGGCCGCACGCGUGCUACACUGACCGGCGCAACAAGUUUCUUUCCUUGGCUCGAUAGGCCUGGGUAAUCUUUGAACGCCGGUCGUGAUGGGGAUAGAUCCUUGCAAUUUUUGAUCUUCAACGAGGAAUUCCUAGUAAAUGCGAGUCAUCAUCUCGCGUUGAUUACGUCCCUGCCCUUUGUACACACCGCCCGUCGCUACUACCGAUUGAAUGGUUUAGUGAGAUUUUUGGACUGGAACUCUCUUGUUCAGCAAUGGACGAGAGGGACUCUGGGAAGCUAUUCUAACUGUAUCAUUUAGAGGAAGUAAAAGUCGUAACA
rnacentral:rRNA from 1 species